rnacentral:rRNA from 1 species
AUUGAACGCUGGCGGCAGGCUUAACACAUGCAAGUCGAGCGAGCGGCGGACGGGUGAGUAAUGUCUGGGAACCUGCCUGAUGGAGGGGGAUAACUACUGGAAACGGUAGCUAAUACCGCAUACCAUCAGAUGUGCCCAGAGUGGAUUAGCUAGUAGGUGGGGUAAUGGCUCACCUAGGCAACGAUCCCUAGCUGGUCUGAGAGGAUGACCAGCCACACUGGGACUGAGACACGGUCCAGACUCCUACGGGAGGCAGCAGUGGGGAAUAUUGGACAAUGGGGGCAAGCCUGAUGCAGCCAUGCCGCGUGUGUGAAGAAGGCCUUCGGGUUGUAAAGUACUUUUAGCGAGGAAGCGUUACUCGCAGAAGAAGCACCGGCUAACUCCGUGCCAGCAGCCGCGGUAAUUC